rnacentral:lncRNA from 1 species
UCGUCUGUUUUGCCCUCUGUCUUUCAUAAGCACAUGCACUCGUAGUUACUUUAUAUUUUUUGAUAUUAUUCCCUCAAAGAAUAAUGAUAACAGCUCUAAAAAUAAAAAACACUGCUAAUGUCCCAACAAAAAACAGUAUGAUGGGUGUUUUUUUUUAUUGAUUUUUUUUGUCUUUUUUAAAUUCUUCUUUCAUGAGUAAUAACAAAAUUACAGGUAAAAGUAGUUUUAAUAAAAGCAAUAUCGAAAAGAAUAUAGGCAUUUAAAAGAUCCUGUCUCUAAAUACGAGAGGGGGCAAGAAUUGCUUAUCACACCAUGCUUUAAUGAAAAGAUUAUAAUCAUUUUAUCCAGAUGUUAAAUGUCUUCAGGACAUCAAAACCAAAGUAUCCUCGUCAUGAUCAAAUAGAGGAGUUCUGUCCUUGGUUUCUAAAUCUCUUGGUGAUCCAACAUGUACCAAAUCCUACUCAAGUGACUGGCAUAAAAUCUUAAUAUCCACUAAUAGGCCAUUAUAAGCAAUUGUAAAGGUUAUAAUUUACCAAUCUACUCGUAGGAGACCUUAACGUUGACCUACAUUGUGCCAGCAACUCAUAUCAAAAUAAAAAAUAUGUGGAGAAGCUUAAAUGGGAAUUAAAUUUGAUUGACUUAACAGCCUAUUUUAGCCCCAGUGAUAAUGUGUCAUGGAGAAGAGGCCGAUCAACGUCACGAAUUGAUUUAGCACUUAUGUCAAAAUUCAUCUAUAAAAAUACUAAGAAGACCUUCUAUUGUUUUGAACCAUUCUCCUAUCACAAGAUGAUGGUGGUUAGUUUUGUACUCGAAACGUCUUCAAAACCCCGGA